rnacentral:tRNA from 1 species
ACGUCUGUAGCUCAGUGGAAGAGCACUACCUUGACUUGGUAGGGGGCAGUGGUUCAAAUCCACUCAGACGUA